rnacentral:rRNA from 1 species
AUACGUAGGGGGCGAGCGUUAUCCGGAUUUAUUGGGCGUAAAGCGUGUGUAGGCGGUUUGUUAAGUUUAAGAUUAAAGCCCGAGGCUUAACCUCGGUUCGUCUUAAAAACUGGCAGACUUGAGUGCAGUAGAGGCAAGUGGAAUUUCUAGUGUAGCGGUUAAAUGCGUAGAUAUUAGAAGGAACACCAGUGGCGAAGGCGGCUUGCUGGGCUGUUACGGACGCUGAGACACGAAAGCGUGGGGAGCAAAUAGGAUUAGAUACCCUAGUAGUCCACGCCGUAAACGAUGAGUACUAAGUGUCGGGUAACCGGUGCUGAAGUUAACACAUUAAGUACUCCGCCUGAGUAGUACGGUCGCAAGGCUGAAACUCAAAUGAAUUGACGGGG